UACGUAUGGUGCAAGCGUUAUCCGGAAUUACUGGGUGUAAAGGGAGCGUAGACGGUAAUGUAAGUCUGGAGUGAAAGGCGGGGGCCCAACCCCCGGACUGCUCUGGAAACUAUGUUACUAGAGUGCAGGAGAGGUAAGCGGAAUUCCUAGUGUAGCGGUGAAAUGCGUAGAUAUUAGGAGGAGCACCAGUGGCGAAGGCGGCUUACUGGACUGUAACUGACACUGAGGCUCGAAAGCGUGGGGAGCAAACAGG
rnacentral:rRNA from 1 species